rnacentral:lncRNA from 1 species
AUGAAGAAGAGUCGCAGCAGUUCGGGCACUGAGCGGCGCUGCCGGCGCCUCCCGCUGCCCGGCCGCAGCCGCCGUCGCUUUCCCUGCCCGGGCCCGGGCGCCGCGGCGGGCCCGGCGGCAGCCCCAGCGGCCAGAGCCGCAGCUCCCUGCCGCUCUGCCAGAGCCCUGCAGCUCCCGGCUCUUCUGGAAAUGGGACAGGCCAAGCUGGUGACAAUGGAGCAGAGAUCCACCUCACACCAGCUGGGGACCGGCUCGCCACAGAAUGAGGCGUCCCACAACCUACUCAAGGAGACCAGAGUUUCAGCUGAGCAGAUGUACAGUGUAAAUUGACUCAUCAUAUGUUUCAAAAUGAAACAGCAAUGCUGACUGUUUGGCAUCUUUUAUGACAGGACAUUAUGAAACAUUAAUUGUUAGAGCUACUUAAGAGUUUCUGACUUUACAGGGAUACUCAGUGCAAUGCUGGGGUCAAAUAGAUAUCGGGCUGGACAACCUAGUAUUUAUUUUCUAGCAAGCUGGAAUUACAGAAAGACCUAAUUUUCUGUUGCCUUGACUGAAAUACACUCACUUAUUUAGUGAGUUUAAAAAAGUGUGAAAUGUAAAUAAUUUUACAUUUCUCUAAAUGACGGUGCAACCAGGGUAGUAGGAGACACAGUCUAAAAGUUUGAGCAUAGGGUUUCAUGUCCUUCUCUGCAAGUGAACGUUCUGUAAUCUGAACUGAAAUAGGUGGUUUUGGCUUUUUUUCACCUUUUAGUUUGCAGUUUCAAACCUCAAAAACUGCAACUCCGAUACUGUUGAGGUUUAACCCCAGCAAGCAGCCAUGUAUCACGUAGCCACCAACUCACUCCCCUACUAACAGGAUCGGGAGAGAAUCAGAAUGGUAACAAUUACCAUUGAAAACUCUUGAAUUGAAAUAAAGGCAGUUUAGUUGAGAAAGCAACUAAACUGCCUUUAAACUUUAAAAUUUUGUCUUGAAGCAUGGCGGGACAAAAGCAGAAAAGGCCUUGGCUCUAUGUAAGCUCUACUCAGCAGUAGAAAACCCAGCUCUGUGUUAUCAUGCCCAAAUCCAAAUCACAACCCUGUGCCAGAUACUGUGAAGAAGAUUAAUUUUAUCUCAGUCAAAAUCAGCACAAAUACAAACCAGUUACUGCUACUUGCUGGAAUUCGAUAAAUGGAGUGUUGAAUGGAGCACUGUUGCUCCUCACAAGCCAUGCUGUUGUGUGUGAGAUGCUCUUUUUGGAGUGAAUAAUGAUGAGACUCUCAGGGCUGGUUUGGUUUAUUACUGUAUUGCAGUAGCACCUGCAGUGUCAGUGUGAAAGGGACAGCUUUCACUGAGGAAUAGCUGAGCAGAAGGAGAGAAGAGCUGCCAUCUUGUGUGGGGAACUGAGACUGCACUAAACCAGGCUACAACUUUAAUACAAUUAAAAAUUUAAAAAUUUAUUAUACCUUUGGGAAUUUAUUAACUAAAGAUAGUUUCACAUUACUUCCAUAUUUUAUAUUAGUUUUUAACUAAUAAAAAUAAAUCACUUUAACCAGGAGGGCUGUUUUUUUGGCUUCAUCAAUACUGCAAACUCAUUGGGAGGAAGCCAAGGCAGUGAGAGCAGUGACCCAUCAAUUCUCUCUACCAGGGUUUCUCAGCACAGAAUUCUGCUCAGCAGAGUGGAUUGGCCACAGAGCAGGAACAGCAGCUCUGUACACAGAAAAUAUAUUUGUGACCUUUUGUAUACAAAAUAGAGUAGCCACAAUCAAGUUUAUGAUGUGUUACAUGGUGUUGUUAAAUCAGAUGGCAACAGGCAUCUUUCACCAAGCCUCUUGGUACGUUCCUAUAGGAUAUGUGGUCAGUGCUUUUUUUUUUUUUUUUUUUUUUUUUGUUUUGUUUUGUUUUGUUUUGUUUUGUUUUGUUUUGUUUUGUUGCUGGAUGUGAAUGCUUAGCACAAAGAGGCAGAAAAAUGUCCUUGUCAAUACUAGAAGCAGAACAAUGAUAUUCCAGCUUCUGUUUUCCAGUUCCCUCCAAACUUCUAAACCAAGAUCAAAUAUGAG